rnacentral:rRNA from 1 species
GGUGAACGCUGGCGGCGUGCCUAAUACAUGCAAGUCGAGCGAACAGAUGAUGAGCUUGCUCCUCUGAGGUUAGCGGCGGACGGGUGAGUAACACGUGGAUAACCUUCCUAUAAUACGUGGAGAACUACGGGAAACCGGAGCUAAUACCGGCGAAUAUAUCGAACCGCAUGGUUCAAUAGUGAAACACGGUUUUGCUGUCUCUUAGAGCUGGUUCCGCGCCGCAUUAGCUAGUUGGUAAGGUAACGGCUCACCAAGGCAACGAUGCGUAGCCGACCUGAGAGGGUGAUCAGCCACACUGGAACUGAGACACGGUCCAGACUCCUACGGGAGGCAGCAGUAGGGAAUAUUGCGCAAUGGGCGAAAGCCUGAUGGAGCAACGCCGCGUGAGUGAUGAAGGUCUUCGGAUCGUAAAACUCUGUUAUUAGGAAAGAAAAAAUGUGUAAGUAACUAUGCACGUCUUGACGGUACCUAAUCAGAAAGCAACGGCUAACUACGUG